UACGGGGGAGCAAGCGUUGUUCGGAUUUACUGGGCGUAAAGGGCGCGUAGGCGGCGUGACAAGUCACUUGUGAAAUCUCCGGGCUUAACCCGGAGCGGCCAAGUGAUACUGUCGUGCUAGAGUGCGGAAGGGCUACUGGAAUUCUCGGUGUAGCGGUGAAAUGCGUAGAUAUCGAGAGGAACACCUGCGGCGAAGGCGGUAGCUGGGCCGACACGUGACGCUGAGGCGCGAAGCCAGGGAGCGAACGG
rnacentral:rRNA from 1 species